rnacentral:rRNA from 1 species
AGCGAACGCUGGCGGCAGGCCUAACACAUGCAAGUCGAACGAACUCUUCGGAGUUAGUGGCGGACGGGUGAGUAACACGUGGGAACGUGCCUUUAGGUUCGGAAUAACUCAGGGAAACUUGUGCCAAUACCGAAUGUGCCCUUCUGGGGAAAGAUUUAUCGCGUUUGGAGCGGCCGGCGUCUGAUUAGCUAGUUGUUUAGGUAAAGGCUCACCAAGGCGAGGAUCAGUAGCUGGUAUGAGAGGAUGAUCAGCCACAUUGGGACUGAGACACGGCCCAAACUCCUACGGGAGGCAGCAGUGGGGGAUCUUGCGAAAUGGGCGGAGGCAUGACGCAGCCAGGCCGGGUGAAUGCUGAAGGUAGUAAAGUAGUAAAGUUCUUUCAACGGGGACGAUCAUGACGGUACCCAGAGAAGAAGCCCCGGCUAACUUCGUG